rnacentral:rRNA from 1 species
CCUACGGGAGGCAGCAGUGAGGAAUAUUGGUCAAUGGACGGAAGUCUGAACCAGCCAAGUAGCGUGAAGGAUGACUGCGCUAAGGAUUGUAAACUUCUUUUGUCAAGGAAUAAAACGAGGCACGUGUGCCUGUUUGCAGGUACUUUAUGAAUAAGGAUCGGCUAACUCCGUGCCAGCAGCCGCGGUAAUACGGAGGAUGCGAGCGUUAUCCGGAUUUAUUGGGUUUAAAGGGAGCGUAGAUGGGUUGUUAAGUCAGUUGUGAAAGUUUGCGGCUCAACCGUAAAAUUGCAAUUGAUACUGGCAGUCUUGAGUACAGUUGAGGUAGGCGGAAUUCGUGGUGUAGCGGUGAAAUGCUUAGAUAUCACGAAGAACCCCGAUUGCGAAGGCAGCUUACUAAACUGCGACUGACAUUGAUGCUCGAAAGUGUGGGUAUCAAACAGGAUUAGAUACCCCUGUAGUC